GCAGCGAUGCGGUCUGGCAUCGGCGCCGACGGAGUUCCCGUCUUCUGCCCUGCAUCGCGAGCACAGUGCCGGCCUGCCUACGUCGGGGCUGCUCGCCACAUGGCCGACCCGGAGGUGGAGACGCCGCGACCAGGUUCAUCAUUAAGCCGCAUCCCUGAACCUCCAUAGCGAGCGAUGUAGAUCGAUCUUUUUUUGUGUGUGUGUAUUCCCUACUUUCCUGCUUCAAUUGGAAGCCAAUUUGGCUGCAACUUGUAUAACCCUCCAAGUUCCUGGCACCUGGACCGGCAUCUCUCUGUAGUUUUCGUUAGAUUGCCUAGGCUGAAUUGAAGUCCGCGUCGUGUGGCUUCAGAUAAAGUUCCAUCUACUCCUAUAUGUGUUUUCUGUUAAUAUGUGUCUGUAUGAUUCUGUUCUGCAUAUUCGUCUAAAUGGAUAAUUUUAAAUCGAAACAAAAGGUAUUAAUUAUUGGCCGGGCGUCCAUAGAAACAAGUUGUGUACCGUGGAGGUUAACUGAAGAAUUGUUCACCCAAAACAAUUGGACUCAAAGAAGCAGAGUAGAGAUGUGAGAAACUUGAGAGAAAAGUGAGAAGUAAUUGACCCAGUGUGGUACAAUCAGGACCUUCAAUAGUGCGAUUGGAUCAUGGGGAGAUAAAUGAAUCUGCUCCAGAAGAGAAAUAGAACAGAGAGAAUAGAGGAGGAGACGUGUGUGAGGGGCUCGGCGGCGAAGCUGCACGUGGCAGGCCUUAUGGCGCGGGCGCGCAACAGUGCCGUGGCGGCUGCACGGCGGAGGGCGUCAUGCUUGAAGGAGGCACGUUCCUCCCGCUUCCGGCGUCAUGUGGCAUGGGCCUCCGUGUCAUACUAGCCUAUAUGUUUUGUUUCUUGGGAUUCUUAUGAACAUUGAAGGAUUCUCCUGAAAUUUCCCAUCCAUUGAAGUCCUAUAGAACUCUCUAAUUUGGUCCUAAUUUUUGGUUUGCAGGUCAUGCAAUUGCUGGGCUAUUCUUCCUCUGCUCCAUGCUGUGGUCGCUGUUGUUGCAACAAUUAUUACAGGUUCUCAGCGAGUUGCUUCUGACAAGAGCAUUUGCAAUGCAUACUUUCAGAAUCAAAGAAACCCCAUUUGCGGUUACAGUUAUAUCCUGAAACACACCGUAUCUACCGUUCUUCUACUAAUUUUCUGUCCAUUAACUGCCUUAAAAGGGUGUGGAUAUACUCUCAGCCUAGAAAAAAGCUAGAUAAAUCUAACAUAUAGAUUCAUAACUUUCAACGUUCAAAACUUAAUCAAAGGUUGGAUAUACUCUCAGCCUACAAAGAAGAGAAAAACAGAGGAGCUACAAAUCAGUAACAAAAACACAAAGGUGUCAGCUGAACCUGUAACUAUUUGCUCAACAGUUAAACUAAUCAUUGAGUAAAAUUUGUUUUCCUAGCAUGAUUUUUGUUCUUAAUAAGGAAGAAAAUAAACUUUAAAAUGUGAAUAGAAAGUGUUGUUGUCGACCUCUAAUUCAUAAGUAUACAUAUUAUUAUUUUGGACACUACAAAAAAAUGAUGAACAUGUUCAACCUUCUUGCUCCCAGGUUUAUUGAGCACGAUUACCAGCAAGGCGAAGUCGGUGGAGCUCAUGACCACCGCCAUGCACAAGGACUGGCCAAGCCCGCAAAAG
rnacentral:lncRNA from 1 species